GACGUAGGGCGCGAGCGUUGUCCGGAUUUAUUGGGCGUAAAGAGCUCGUAGGCGGUCUGUCACGUCGGCUGUGAAAACCCGAGGCUCAACCUCGGGCCUGCAGUCGAUACGGGCAGACUAGAGUUCGGUAGGGGAGACUGGAAUUCCUGGUGUAGCGGUGAAAUGCGCAGAUAUCAGGAGGAACACCGGUGGCGAAGGCGGGUCUCUGGGCCGAUACUGACGCUGAGGAGCGAAAGCGUGGGGAGCGAACAGG
rnacentral:rRNA from 1 species